ACAAUCCGUUGUCCGCCUAGGCCUUCUCUGACCUGAGCCCUCAUCCCCAACGAGAUUGUAAAGACCUUGAAGAGAGUCCCUUUAGCCUAUAAGGGCUGAGCAUACAGCAGGGGUCAAGGAGCUGCUUUUUGUUCACUUGUUUGCUGUUUACAUGGGAAAACAGAUCUAAAAAGCAGCUUCCUGUUUUCAGGGAGUUCUUAACCAAAUUCGAAAAUGACAUCUGUAUCCUGUGGGACAAUAGAGUGGAGCGAAGUAUCACUGUUAAUUCAUUCAACAAAUACUUACUGAGCAACUGCUUGUGCUAGACACCAUUCUAGGUGCGGGCGACACAAAAGGCAACAAACCAGGGGCAGCCCUCUUGUCAUAUACCUUCUAAAGCAGGUGACAGAAAAUGAACAAUGUAUAUAAGCCAAUAUAAUUGGAUAAGUGCUGCGAAGAAAACCCAGGUCGGCAGGGGACGGAGAGUGAGAGGGAACCGCUCUCUAGACAAGGCCGUCAGGCAAAGACCCAUGCGGAGCGAAGGAGGGUCCAUGCAGAUCUGCGGGGAAGUCGCUCCAGGCGGGGGAACAGCCGUGCAAAGGCCCUGAGCCAUUUUCCUCUCAGGAGAAAAGACAUCUGCAAAGGUUACUACCAUCCAGAGCUCAGAAGCUCUAAGGCCACAGAAGAGGGAAACUCCAACGACAAAGAAAACAAAAGCGCAGGAACCUCCGCAGACAUGCCUGGGGGAGCCAGACAGACACCUGGCUCUUCAGGAACUGACCUGACCUGGGAGCCUCCACAGAAGGAAUUGGGGGGGUUGGGGGAUGACAAGCUAGCAUUUAUUUUUUUCUCUGCUCCAAGCCCUUUACACACAGUUACCUCACUUCAUCUUCCCCAAUGCUCAUAAAGCUGGUAUCUGAACCUCCACUUUACAAGUGAAGGCAUGAGGCUCAGAGAGAUGAAGCCACUUGCCUGGAGUCACACAGCUAGUGGGGGUUCAAAACGUAUUACUUCUGCCCCCACACCCGCAGCCCUGCCUUUUGGCCAGCCAGUUUUCCAUUACACCAUGCUGUUUCCAUUCUGCUAUUGACAGAAAUGAGAUAAACAAUUUUUUUUUUUUUUUUUUUUUUUACAAAACCCAAACCUCAGGCUGAUCAUAGUUGCACAAGAGUCGAUAUCCAGACCUGAAUCACCAUCUGGCUUUGCCUUCAUUCCUACUUAAAAAAAAA